GACGAACGCUGGCGGCGUGCUUAACACAUGCGAGUCGAACGGAAAGGCCCUGCUCUUGCGGGGUGCUCGUGUGGCGAACGGGUGAGUAACACGUGAGUAACCUGCCCCUGACUUUGGGAUAACUUCAGGAAACUGGGGCUAAUACCGGGUAGGAGCUCCUGCUGCACGGUGGGGGUUGGUAAGUUUCGGCGGUUGGGGAUGGACUGGCGGCUUAUCAGCUUGUUGGUGGGGUAGUGGCUUACCAAGGCUUUGACGGGUAGCCGGCCUGAGAGGGUGACCGGCCACAUUGGGACUGAGAGACGGCCCAGACUCCAACGGGAGGCAGCAGGGGGGAAUAUUGCACAAUGGGCGGAAGCCUGAUGCAACAACGCCGCGUGCGGGAUGACGGCCUUCGGGUUGUAAACCGCUGUCGCCGGUGACGAAGCGUGAGUGACGGUAAUGGGUAAAGAAGCACCGGCUAACUACGUG
rnacentral:rRNA from 1 species